rnacentral:rRNA from 1 species
UUCCGCAAUGGGCGAAAGCCUGACGGAGCAAUACCGCGUGAGGGAGGAAGGCUCUUGGGUUGUAAACCUCUUUUCUCAAGGAAGAACACAAUGACGGUACUUGAGGAAUCAGCAUCGGCUAACUCCGUGCCAGCAGCCGCGGUAAUACGGAGGAUGCAAAAGCUUAUUCCGGAAUGAUUGGGCGUAAAGCGUCCGCAGGUGGUGAUGUAAGUCUGCUGUUAAAGAGUGAGGCUCAACCUCAUAAAAGCAGUGGAAACUACAUGACUAGAGUGCGUUCGGGGCAGAGGGAAUUCCUGGUGUAGCGGUGAAAUGCGUAGAUAUCAGGAAGAACACCGGUGGCGAAAGCGCUCUGCUAGGCCGCAACUGAC